UUUAAGCAUUGGAGUGCUAAUAUUUGUUUUGCAGGUUAGUCUUCCAUUGAUUUUAAGAUUUUCUUGAAAAAUUUUUACUUUUUCAUUUUUUCUUCUCCUUUCUACCUGUGUUUCGAACUAAUUUGAGGCUCCAUCAUCGAAGGUCCCCACCAAAUUAAAUAUCCUAUAAUUAGGACGAUUAGUUUCAUUAUUGUGAAAGGACGGAUAACACAUGUUAUCCAACCAAAUUAAAUAAUUAAUUCGUUUCACUUUGCAUUUAGGGAGCAUCUAAAUUGAUGGAUUUAGAUAUCGUGGAUUAAAAAUUACAUCUCAUUUGUUUGGAUUUCAAAAAAAAAAAAAAAUAUAUAUUGCGCCUGAAACCCCUACGGGUGGGAUCUCCGGCCGUUUGAUCCGUUGCGGUUCCUGGACAACUCUCAAGAUACAAAUAUUGGGAUCUGAUCUGAAGCGAAGCUCUCUUGCAGCAUCUGGGCAUCUAUGGCGCUUAGAAGCUCUCUCAUCAGUGGAGCCUGGACUACUGUGAAAGACAGGUUCAGGAUAUCUACUCUCACACCAUUCUGCCAUGUUGAACUCUGAUCUGGAAAAUUCGUGCAUUAGUUCCCCAUUCAGAUCACAAUAUUUCCAAGCCAAAUUUCCCCCAACACAGAACUUCUCUAUUGCAUCAUCACCACAUCCAUCUAUCCUUGUCUCGUUAAACGUUGGAGGAUAUCCCUUUUCAAGAUUCUUCCUGUUCGAUUCGGCUCACUAUUCUACUUAGCUCAUUUGCAUCAUUUUUUAAUAGUGUUAAAUGCUUCUGUUUGCUUGAUGGUGUUUUUAGUUGAUUUGAUAACGUGCAAUGCUUUGAAACACUUGUAAAUAAAUUGAGUUGAAUCAAUGUAUUUGCGACUGACAUGAAAUAAAGAUGUUCAACAGCAGUGGAGCA